rnacentral:lncRNA from 1 species
GACAAUAAUCAUGAUCUGAACGAGUUCGUAGUUCAUGCUGCUGUCAACCUCAUAGAUGAGAACAUGUGGCUGUUGAGCAACAUGUACUUGAAAACUGUGGACAAGAUCAAUGAGGGAUUUGUGUCAGCAUUCAACACUGCAGGACAUAUGAGAUUUAUUAUGCUUCAUGACAUAAGGCAAGAAGAUGAAAUAAAGCACUUCUUUGCUGGUGUUUAUCAUUUACAUAUAAAA